rnacentral:rRNA from 1 species
GAUGAACGCUGGCGGCGUGCCUAAUACAUGCCAGUCGAGCGAACAGACGAGGAGCUUGCUCCUCUGACGUUAGCGGCGGACGGGUGAGUAACACGUGGAUAACCUACCUAUAAGACUGGGAUAACUUCGGGAAACCGGAGCUAAUACCGGAGAAUAUAUUGAACCGCAUGGUUCAAUAGUGAAAGACGGUUUUGCUGUCACUUAUAGAUGGAUCCGCGCCGCAUUAGCUAGUUGGUAAGGUAACGGCUUACCAAGGCGACGAUGCGUAGCCGACCUGAGAGGGGGAUCGGCCACCCUGGAACUGAGCCACGGUCCAGAGUCCUACGGGAGGGAGCAGUAGGGAAUCUGACGCAAUGGGCGAAAGCCUGACGGAGCAACGCCGAGUGAGUGAUGAAGGUCUUCGGAUCGGAAAACUCUGUUAUUAGGGAAGAACAAAUGUGUAAGUAACUAUGCACGUCGUGACGGUACCUAAUCAGAAAGCCACGGCUAACUACGUG